rnacentral:rRNA from 1 species
CUUUUGCAUCAUGAUUUAGCAAGAAAGACUCAAGCAAAGGGACCUUUACGUUUGAGCCCCCGAAACUAAGCGAGCUACUCCAAGACAGCCUAUCGUAGGGCGAACCCGUCUCUGUGGCAAAAGAGUGGGAAGAACUUCGAGUAGAGGUGACAAACCUACCGAGCCUAGUUAUAGCUGGUUGCCUGAGAGAUGAAUAUGAGUUCAACCUUUUGAGCUGCUCACCCCACCGUAUUAUUGUACCCCCAGGGUUAAAGCAACCAAAAGAUAUAGUCAAGAGGGGAACAGCUCUCUUGAAAAUAAGAAACAACUUUUAAGGCAGGUUAAAAAUCAUAAUACCAAAGGAUACACACCCGAGUGGGCCUAAAAGCAGCCA